CUUUGAACAAUUACAUUAUCUCUGCAGUAUAUUUUACUGUAAAUCACUGCCGUGUAGCCUUAACAUUGCCUCCAUCUUCAUUUUUCCUCCAGUUCUUUAACGUAGUUUCCCCGCUCUGUGAGGUUUUGGAGGAGACAGCAUUCCAUUCUGUGACUCUCACCUGGUGAGUGCCUUUCCAAAGGAAGGUAAGGAUGUGCUGUCUGAAAGAUGUCAUUAUUACUCUCAAAAAACAGAACAAAAAUGUAUCGUUUUAUCUUAUUUUCCCAGAGAAACAAAAUAGGACAAGGGCAGCAAUUAAUGAAAAAUAGGAUUGUAGUGCAGACCCAAAAUCUUAAUAUAAUGAUAAUUGCAUAUUAAUCCCAGCCUUUAGCCACGAGCUGCUAUUUUCCUUCAGUGUGCAGCUCUCUCUGAAAUCUUAGUGAUGUUAGUAAUGUACACAAAACUGAUAAUCUGCCUCUCUAGGCUUGUUUAAGACAAAAAGACAUAAUCACCAAACACCACAUCUCUCAGUGUACCCAUUUCUGUUGACUUACAAGCUAACACGUGUUCACUAAAGACGUGAACAUCUUCUAUAAUACAGCCUGCGUUCAGCCAACAGUGACACAGAACUGAAGAGUAGGAGGCACCCUUUGAUCAGAUAGUUUGAAUGCUUUCCUAUUAAAGCCAUUGCUCUUUACCUGCUUUAUUUGUUGCCAAGCCUGGUAGCUCAUGUGUGACAGCACUGGAUUCCUGGUAAGGCAUCGGGCCUUCAGGGGGAUGUUGGGGAGGAGAAUGCUGAGGUGGGGAGUUGCUUCAUUCAGCCCUUUGCUCAGCUGUAAAGACUCCUUUUCGUUACAAACCCAUACAACUUAUUUUCACUUCCACUGCAGGUAUUAUAGAGAGGACAAGGAGCAGUUUAGUCUGUUUCAUGAAGAGCUCUGCUCUGCUCUUAGUUCACUGUUGCCUUGACAGGGGAACUCUGACUGUGAUUCUAUGAAAAUGUCUGCGACUCUGAACUUUGUCUCCUCUGUCAGUCAUAUUUAUCUGAUGAGAAUUAGCAAAAGCAAAUCUAGAAUGAUGAAGAACCAGAGAGGAAAGGCAGAAAACAAGCAAUGGAGAGACAUACAUGUUGCAUGACUCUUCCCUGGUAGGAAAGAUCUUGCACACACACAGAAAAGAAAACCAAGUCUUCCACACAAUGGAUUGGUUUCCUUUAGAAAGCUUGCUCCAGGUUGAAUACUGGAAGGUAUGAAUACCACUCAACAUAGUAAAAGGAGGGAUGCCCUCUUAUAGAGCUCGUUACUGGGAUUUGCUCUGGAAAAAGUUUUGAGAGGGCAUGAAGGAGGCUGAGCCAGCAGCCACUCCCAGCACCAAGCACUGACCAAAAGAUGCCUCCAUGAAUCUUAAUUCCUCACCUGAAGGAGAAGGGUGAGAAAUCCUGUAUACCAGCCCUGCACAGCAUCAUGUGCUCUUCCGCCCUUCCAGCUCAAAUAGGGUGACCUACAAACACACCUAUCUUCCUCUUUUCAGUAAUUAAUCCAAGAGAAGUAACCAUCAAACUGACCAGCGAACUGCGCACGCUGCGAAGGUAAAUCCCUACUACUUGUUUUGAUUUCAUUAUUCCCUCUGUCUUUUCAAGUCGGUCACAUUGUGAUUUUGCUGUCGGGGAGCCUCGCUCCAUUUUGAGUUUUGUUCUGCUCAGGCUUUUCCAUUCAGACUGUCAUAACCUGCUUGUGCCACAACGCAUUAUUUCAUUUUAUCUGGAGGCAGCUGGACUGACAAUACUGUUUCGCCAUUUCGGGCAGUUUUCGGAGAUCUGCAGUGUCAAGAAAGAACAAUUUGUGUUAUUUUUUUUUAUUACGUCUAUUACUUCUUCAAAAGAAGAAGUAAUAUUAUCUAACAUGCAAAUGGCAAAUAGAAGCAUUCUUGAAAUUUAUACUUGGUGCAGAUUUUCAUGUCCUCUUCCUUCAAUCAUUACUAAAAUUGGAAGAUUAAAAACCUUUAUGGAGGAUGAAGACCUGGCUGAGACUGAAGAUAAUUCCUACUUCUGACUUUUUUCCUUGAGGAACACAUUUAUUAAAGGAAAAGAGUCAAUUUUUAAGUAGGAAAUGAACUGAUUUAGAAAUGUUAUGCAUAUGAAUUGCAUUUAGUUUUGUUACUGUUUAAGAUAUUAAAAGUUUUGAAGUACCCUUUUCAGUGCUCACAAGUGUGUAUACUCCUAAGUAAAUAGAUGAGAUUAGACUGCUCUUGAAAUAAACUGGCACGCUCCAGUCUCUGUCUUGAAGUACGACUCCUGUACAGUAUGCUACUGCAUGUCGUGCCCUCAGCUGAUCUUCAUAGAAAUGCCAACUGAAGCAUUGCUGAGCCUAUGGAAAUAGGAACAAGAGUUUCCAGUGCCAUUCCAUCAGUGUUUUAGCUGUUAGGAUAGGGCUUUUGUAUCUGCGAAUUGCAGUCGACAUGGAAGUGACUGAUGUUUUCUGUCCUACUCCAAUGAGCGUUUAAAAUAUUAAUGAUGCAUUCGGAUUAUGGAAAAAGUUCCUCCCAAGUGAUCUGGCCGCUCCUUUACUCAAAGGUCGCUUCUCCAUGUGGUUGCUUCUCUGUUAAUUGCAUACAGCAAGGCUACCAGCUAUAUGAGUUUGUGUACGGGGCCAAAAAGAAACUCACGUCUGUAGAAUGAAAGUAGGAUCUGCUAUGGAAAUCUCUAUGAAUGUGCAAGCGCUAACGGCAGAAGCCACAAUUAAUUCCCCUUUUAAUUAAAAUACUCAACAUUAUAAUAAAAAGAUUAUUUCCUCACUUACUCUGCAGUUUUAGAGUCCAAAUAAAGUAGCACAAUGCUUUUACGGUGAUGCAUGCAUUGCUCAUGGAGAAAUGCUCCAUCUACUCACAGCUUUGGGAGUUAGUAUCUUACUGGGAAAAAAAAAAGACUUGAAAGAUGUGAACCUGACUGCUUUCAACAGCUAAAUCAAAAACUGUUGGUUCUUCUUCACACUUUCCCUUGACCAUUCAGAACGUGAAAUGCCCUGUGCUAGAGUCAAAUGUGAUGUGCUGCCUGUGAGCACCUUGUCUUUCUAUAAUUCACACAAAGCAUGAAAUUUUAAAGUAGUAUUCAGAGCAUCUGUGCAAAAAUAAUGUAAAUACUGUUGUUCUUAUCCAAUCCAGAAGAGUUGGUCAAGGGCAAGAUGGGAGCCUAUCGUGUGCAGAUCAGCGCACAGCCACAGCGUUAGGAGAAUGGAAAUGCAAUUGUACUGCUCACCUUCUGGUUACAUGGCUUAAGCUACAAGGCAGUUUGUAACACGUGGGAUGGAGGACUUGCCUUCAUCUCAGAGAUCCCCAUCCUCAAACCUGCAUGUGUGUAGUUUAGAGCCAAGAACAGAGAGUAAAUUUCAAAAUUAAAAAGAAAAAUCAGGUUUUUUGUUUGUUUGUUUGUUUGUUUUGUUUUUUAAUAUCACUUUGGAUUUGUAGAGAGGUGGUUUCUACAAGGUUCCCUGGUGUUACUUAUAUUAAUAUUUUAUAGGCUGCUCGUGUAAACUCUAGAGCUUUCAUAGCUCUCAGUAUUAACUUUCAAAUAUAAAACAGUUGAUAUUGAUUUUUAUUGCUGUUUAAUUUAGUUUUUGUUUGUUUUUUUAACAUGGUUUCUCAGCUGUAAGGAAUGUGGCCUGCGCUCAUUUAAGACUUCUCCAAGACUUCUCCAGAUACACGAAACCCACUACUGUCAUCCUUUUUUCUUAUGUUUUAACACUCUGAGAGCUGAGCUGGCCUGUAUUUGUCAUGCAGAUUGAUUAUUCUACGCAGCAAAUCAGAUCACCUAUUAUGGAAGACUUGUACAACCAGUUAUCUUGAAUGACUGCAAACCUGUCUGCAAAAGAGUGUUAUGCGAUGUGAGUGAAUAUGAAUAGAAGGAUCUUCCAUGAUAAACUCAAGA